AGGGUUCGAUUCUGGCUCAGGAUGAACGCUGGCGGCGUGCUUAACACAUGCAAGUCGAACGGGAUCCAUCAGGCUUUGCUUGGUGGUGAGAGUGGCGAACGGGUGAGUAAUGCGUGACCGACCUGCCCCAUACACCGGAAUAGCUCCUGGAAACGGGUGGUAAUGCCGGAUGCUCCGACUCCUCGCAUGGGGUGUCGGGAAAGAUUCAUCGGUAUGGGAUGGGGUCGCGUCCUAUCAGCUUGACGGCGGGGUAACGGCCCACCGUGGCUUCGACGGGUAGCCGGCCUGAGAGGGCGACCGGCCACAUUGGGACUGAGAUACGGCCCAGACUCCUACGGGAGGCAGCAGUGGGGAAUAUUGCACAAUGGGCGCAAGCCUGAUGCAGCGACGCCGCGUGCGGGAUGACGGCCUUCGGGUUGUAAACCGCUUUUGAUCGGGAGCAAGCCUUCGGGUGAGUGUACCUUUCGAAUAAGCACCGGCUAACUACGUGCCAGCAGCCGCGGUAAUACGUAGGGUGCAAGCGUUAUCCGGAAUUAUUGGGCGUAAAGGGCUCGUAGGCGGUUCGUCGCGUCCGGUGUGAAAGUCCAUCGCUUAACGGUGGAUCCGCGCCGGGUACGGGCGGGCUUGAGUGCGGUAGGGGAGACUGGAAUUCCCGGUGUAACGGUGGAAUGUGUAGAUAUCGGGAAGAACACCAAUGGCGAAGGCAGGUCUCUGGGCCGUUACUGACGCUGAGGAGCGAAAGCGUGGGGAGCGAACAGGAUUAGAUACCCUGGUAGUCCACGCCGUAAACGGUGGAUGCUGGAUGUGGGGCCCGUUCCACGGGUUCCGUGUCGGAGCUAACGCGUUAAGCAUCCCGCCUGGGGAGUACGGCCGCAAGGCUAAAACUCAAAGAAAUUGACGGGGGCCCGCACAAGCGGCGGAGCAUGCGGAUUAAUUCGAUGCAACGCGAAGAACCUUACCUGGGCUUGACAUGUUCCCGA
rnacentral:rRNA from 1 species